rnacentral:rRNA from 1 species
UACAGAGGUCCCAAGCGUUGUUCGGAAUCACUGGGCGUAAAGGGUGCGUAGGCGGGUCUUUAAGUCAGGGGUGAAAUCCUGGAGCUCAACUCCAGAACUGCCUUUGAUACUGAAGAUCUUGAGUUCGGGAGAGGUGAGUGGAACUGCGAGUGUAGAGGUGAAAUUCGUAGAUAUUCACAAGAACACCAGUGGCGAAGGCGGCUCACUGGCCCGAUACUGACGCUGAGGCACGAAAGCGUGGGGAGCAAACAGG